UGUAAGAAAGGUACCAUCUUUUAAGGUUUUAUUUGGUCCAGGAUAAUCAGUUACUGUGAUAAUAGUUAAAAUAUAAUAACCUUAUAUAACAAAAUAAAAGAUAAAAAAAUAAAAAAUAAAAUCAAAAAAAUUGUCCUUCCCGGAACAUUCAGUUGUGUCACCGAUUUUCUAAAAAGAAAAUUACUGUGGUUCAAAUAUUUUUGCAUUACUGUCAACACCAUAGCUACUGCUAUGCAACUUAUCAGGUUAGAAGCCCUCAGGGUCAAAAAACUGCUUAGAAGGAGUGCACGCGUGUUUGCAAGCCGCAGGGACCAAAUUCUUCAUUCAGAUUAACCUUCGUGUUUGCAGCGUCCACUGAAACAAGAUUUUUUUAUCCAAUAUGGUGAUUGAGAUUAUUUAAGGUUAAUAUUAUAAACGAAUCACGAAGACUGAUUAUCGACUGAUUAAUUUGAUUAGUGCCAAUAUAAAACAUAAAAGAGACUUCUUAUUCUUGAAUCUUGAUAGUAAUUUACCCUUUAGAUAAAUAAUAAUAAUGUGAUGGCUUAAGCCCGAACUGAUUGUGAUAAUUUAGUUUGAAGUUAAGUUAAGUUUAUAAUUAUAUUUAUUAUGUGUG